UACGGAGGAUCCAAGCGUUAUCCGGAAUCAUUGGGUUUAAAGGGUGCGUAGGCGGAAUGAUAAGUCAGUGGUGAAAGCCUGUAGCUUAACUACAGAAUUGCCAUUGAUACUGUUAUUCUUGAGUCUAGUUGAAGUGGGCGGAAUGUGUCAUGUAGCGGUGAAAUGCAUAGAUAUGACACAGAACACCUAUUGCGAAGGCAGCUCACUAAACUAGUACUGACGCUGAGGCACGAAAGCGUGGGGAGCGAACAGG
rnacentral:misc_RNA from 1 species